GAAGGCGUAGUCGAUGCACAUACGGUUGAAAUUCCGUAGCCACCGAACCUUAAGUACACUGACACAUGGAGAUAGCGGGACCCGGGCGUUGGUUGACCCGGGCGUAAGGGACCGAACUUUAGUAGGGAAGUCCGCGAUGCCCUGUGGCGAGAAAAGGUGUAUGGUAUGCUAAGGUGCCCGUACCGCAAACCGACACAGGUAGAUGAGGAGAGAAUCCUAAGGCCAACGGGAGAAGGGUUGUUAAGGAACUCGGCAAAAUGACCCCGUAACUUCGGGAUAAGGGGAGCCCCCUACGGGGGGCCGCAGAGAAUAGGCCCAAGCGACUGUUUACCAAAAACACAGGUCUAUGCUAAAUCGAAAGAUGACGUAUAUGGGCUGACGCCUGCCCGGUGCUGGAAGGUUAAGAGGAGAGCUUAGCGCAAGCGAAGGUUUGAAUUGAAGCCCCAGUAAACGGCGGCCGUAACUAUAACGGUCCUAAGGUAGCGAAAUUCCUUGUCAGGUAAGUUCUGACCCGCACGAAAGGCGUAACGAUUUGGGCGCUGUCUCAGCUGUAGACUCGGUGAAGUCUUAGUACCUGUGAAGAUGCAGGUUACCCGCGACUAGACGGAAAGACCCCAUGGAGCUUCACUGCAGGUUGAUAUUGGGAUUUGAUGCAGCAUGUACAGGAUAGGUAGGAGGCAAAGAGAUGGAUACGCCAGUAUUCAAGGAGCCGCUGUUGGGAUACUACCCCUGUUGUAUUGGAUUUCUAACCGGACGACGUAGAGCCGUUGACGGGACAGUGUCAGUCGGGCAGUUUGACUGGGGCGGUCGCCUCCCAAAGAGUAACGGAGGCGCCCAAAGAUACCCUCAGCUUGGAUGGAAACCAAGCGCAGAGUGCAAAGGCAAAAGGGUGUUUGACUGCGAGACCCACAAGUCGAGCAGGGACGAAAGUCGGGCUUAGUGAUCCGGCGGUGCUGAAUGGAAAGGCCGUCGCUCAACGGAUAAAAGCUACCCUGGGGAUAACAGGCUGAUCUCCCCCAAGAGUUCACAUCGACGGGGAGGUUUGGCACCUCGAUGUCGGCUCAUCGCAUCCUGGAGCUGAAGUCGGUUCCAAGGGUUGGGCUGUUCGCCCAUUAAAGCGGUACGCGAGCUGGGUUCAGAACGUCGUGAGACAGUUCGGUCCCUAUCCGGCGUGGGCGUAGGAUAUCUGAGAGGAGCUGUCCUUAGUACGAGAGGACCGGGAUGGACUGACCUCUGGUGCAUCGGUUGAGCCACCAGGCUCAUGGCCGAGUAGCCAAGUCGGGACGGGAUAAACGCUGAAGGCAUCUAAGCGUGAAGCCCCCCUCAAGAUGAGAUAUCCCAUAGAGUUAAUCUAGUAAGACCCCUUGAAGACGACGAGGUAGAUAGGCAGAAGGUGGAAGUGUGGUGACAUAUGGAGCUGAUCUGUACUAAUAGGUCGAGGGCUUAACCG
rnacentral:rRNA from 1 species